GCACCGGUAGCUCAGUGGAUAGAGCACUAGUCUUCGGAACUAGGUGUCGGGGGUUCGAAUCCCUCCCGGUGCGCCA
rnacentral:tRNA from 1 species